rnacentral:rRNA from 1 species
CAAUAGCGUAUAUUUAAGUUGUUGCAGUUAAAAAGCUCGUAGUUGGAUUUCGGAUGGGACUUGCCGGUCCGUCGUUUCGAUGUGCACUGGCCAGUCCUAUCUUGUUGUCGGGGACUAGCUCCUGGGCUUCACUGUCCGGGACUAGGAGCUGACGAGGUUACUUUGAGUAAAUUAGAGUGUUCAAAGCAAGCCUACGCUCUGAAUACAUUAGCAUGGAAUAACACGAUAGGACUCUGGCUUAUCUUGUUGGUCUGUGGGACCAGAGUAAUGAUUAAGAGGGACAGUCGGGGACAUUCGUAUUUCAUUGUCAGAGGUGAAAUUCUUGGAUUUAUGAAAGACGAACUUCUGCGAAAGCAUUUGUCAAGGAUGUUUUCAUUAA